rnacentral:rRNA from 1 species
UACGUAGGGUGCGAGCGUUGUCCGGAAUUAUUGGGCGUAAAGAGCUCGUAGGCGGUUUGUCGCGUCUGCUGUGAAAACGCGAGGCUCAACCUCGCGCCUGCAGUGGGUACGGGCAAACUAGAGUGCGGUAGGGGAGAUUGGAAUUCCUGGUGUAGCGGUGGAAAUGCGCAGAUAUCAGGAGGAACACCGAUGGCGAAGGCGGAUCCCUG